rnacentral:rRNA from 1 species
UGAGUGGUAGGGGAGCGUUCUGUAAGUCUGCGAAGGUGUGUUGUGAAGCAUGCUGGAGAUAUCAGAAGUGCGAAUGCUGACAUGAGUAACGAUAAUGGGGGUGAAAAACCUCCACGCCGGAAGACCAAGGGUUCCUGUCCAACGUUAAUCGGGGCAGGGUGAGUCGACCCCUAAGGCGAGGCGGAAACGCGUAGUCGAUGGGAAACGGGUUAAUAUUCCCGUACUGACGUGUAUUGCGAUGGGGGGACGGAGAAGGCUAAAUGAGCCAGGCGUUGGUUGUCCUGGUGAAAGGAUGUAGGCAGUGUGUUUAGGUAAAUCCGGACGCACAAUGCUGAGACCCGAGACGAAGUCACUACGGUGGCGAAGUCAUUGAUGCCCUGCUUCCAGGAAAAGCCUCUAAGCUUCAGAUGCACGUUAAUCGUACCCCAAACCGACACAGGUGGUCGGGUAGAGAAUACCAAGGCGCUUGAGAGAACUCGGGUGAAGGAACUAGGCAAAAUAGUACCGUAACUUCGGGAGAAGGUACGCUGGAGCGAGUGAAGUCCCUUGCGGAUGGAGCUUGGGCCAGUCGCAGUGACCAGGUGGCUGGAACUGUUUAUCAAAAACACAGCACUGUGCAAACUCGCAAGAGGACGUAUACGGUGUGACACCUGCCCGGUGCCGGAAGGUUAAUUGAUGGGGUUAGCCGCAAGGUGAAGCUCUUGAUCGAAGCCCCGGUAAACGGCGGCCGUAACUAUAACGGUCCUAAGGUAGCGAAAUUCCUUGUCGGGUAAGUUCCGACCUGCACGAAUGGUGUAAUCAUGGCCACGCUGUCUCCACCCGAGACUCAGUGAAAUUGAAUUUGCGGUGAAGAUGCCGUAUACCCGCGGCUAGACGGAAAGACCCCGUGAACCUUUACUAUAGCUUGGCACUGAACAUUGACCCUACAUGUGUAGGAUAGGUGGGAGGCUGUGAAGCGGUGACGCCAGUUGCCGUGGAGCCAUCCUUGAAAUACCACCCUUGUAUGUUUGAUGUUCUAACGUAGGCCCCUUAUCGGGGUUGCGGACAGUGCCUGGUGGGUAGUUUGACUGGGGCGGUCUCCUCCCAAAGAGUAACGGAGGAGCACGAAGGUUGGCUAAGUACGGUCGGACAUCGUACGGUUAGUGCAAUGGCAUAAGCCAGCUUAACUGCGAGACGGACAGGUCGAGCAGGUACGAAAGUAGGUCAUAGUGAUCCGGUGGUUCUGUAUGGAAGGGCCAUCGCUCAACGGAUAAAAGGUACUCCGGGGAUAACAGGCUGAUACCGCCCAAGAGUUCAUAUCGACGGCGGUGUUUGGCACCUCGAUGUCGGCUCAUCACAUCCUGGGGCUGAAGUCGGUCCCAAGGGUAUGGCUGUUCGCCAUUUAAAGUGGUACGCGAGCUGGGUUCAGAACGUCGUGAGACAGUUCGGUCCCUAUCUGCCGUGGGCGUUGGAUGAUUGAGAGGGGCUGCUCCUAGUACGAGAGGACCGGAGUGGACGAACCUCUGGUGUUCGGGUUGUCACGCCAGUGGCAUUGCCCGGUAGCUAAGUUCGGAAUCGAUAACCGCUGAAAGCAUCUAAGCGGGAAGCGAGCCUCGAGAUGAGUCAUCCCUAGAGCUUCAAGCUCUCUAAAGGGCCGUUUGAGACUAAGACGUAGAUAGGCAGGGUGUGUAAGCGCAGUGAUGUGUUGAGCUAACCUGUACUAAUGACCCGUGCGGCUUAACCAUACAACACCCAAGAAGUGU